GACGAACGCUGGCGGCGUGCCUAAUACAUGCAAGUCGAGCGAAUGACGAGAAGCUUGCUUCUCUGAUUUAGCGGCGGACGGGUGAGUAACACGUGGGCAACCUGCCCUACAGAUCGGGAUAACUCAGGGAAACCUGGGCUAAUACCGGAUAAUCCUUCGAAUCACAUGUUUUGAAGUUGAAAGGCGCUUCGGCGUCACUGUAGGAUGGGCCCGCGGUGCAUUAGCUAGUUGGUGGGGUAACGGCCUACCAAGGCAACGAUGCAUAGCCUACCUGAGAGGGUGAUCGACCACAUUGGGACUGAGACACGGCCCAAACUCCUACGGGAGGCAGCAGUAGGGAAUCUUCCACAAUGGACGAAAGUCUGAUGGAGCAACGCCGCGUGAGUGAUGAAGGUUUUCGGAUCGUAAAACUCUGUUGUAAGGGAAGAACAAGUACGUUAGGAAAUGAACGUACCUUGACGGUACCUUAUUAGAAAGCCACGGCUAACUACGUGCCAGCCGCCGCGGUAACAC
rnacentral:rRNA from 1 species